rnacentral:rRNA from 1 species
UACGUAGGGACCGAGCGUUGUCCGGAAUCAUUGGGCGUAAAGAGCGUGUAGGCGGCCACUUAAGUCCUGCGUGAAAUCCUGCGGCUCAACCGCAGGCGGUCGUGGGAAACUGGGUGGCUAGAGUGCGGGAGAGGAGAGUGGAAUUCCUGGUGUAGCGGUGGAAUGCGUAGAUAUCGGGAGGAACACCAGUGGCGAAGGCGGCUUUCUGGUCUGCUCUUGACGCUGAGGCGCGAAAGCUAGGGUAGCAAACGGG